GAUGAACGCUGGCGGCGUGCUUAACACAUGCAAGUCGAACGAAGCACUUUAUUUGAUUUCCUUCGGGACUGAUUAUUUUGUGACUGAGUGGCGGACGGGUGAGUAACGCGUGGGUAACCUGCCUUGUACAGGGGGAUAACAGUUGGAAACGGCUGCUAAUACCGCAUAAGCGCACAGCAUCGCAUGAUGCAGUGUGAAAAACUCCGGUGGUAUAAGAUGGACCCGCGUUGGAUUAGCUAGUUGGUGAGGUAACGGCCCACCAAGGCGACGAUCCAUAGCCGACCUGAUAGGGUGACCGGCCACAUUGGGACUGAGACACGGCCCAAACUCCUACGGGAGGCAGCAGUGGGGAAUAUUGCACAAUGGGCGAAAGCCUGAUGCAGCGACGCCGCGUGAGCGAAGAAGUAUUUCGGUAUGUAAAGCUCUAUCAGCAGGGAAGAUAAUGACGUUACCUGACUAAGAAGCACCGGCUAAAUACGG
rnacentral:rRNA from 1 species